UCGGUUACUCUAUUUACAUAACUCAAGUUAAAUUUCCAAAAGAGGGCAGUUUCCCAGAUGAUAUCAAAGUAAGUAAAAGAAAAUGCCCGCAAAUGUCUUCCAUUUCAAAGGCCUACAUGGCUCAGUGAUGCCACAAUGACAUCAGAUUCCACUUGUCAGCACUCGAUUGGUUAAAUGCUGUUGAUUUCCGGCGUCAUGUGCUCAGAUUAGUUUAAAUGUCUCGGGAUUUUUGAUGUGCAGUAAUGAUUCACAUAUCUGUUUUUCAUUACUGAUUACUUGAGCGAAGUAACUGACUUGUUUGAUUUAGAGCAGAGAGGCUGUGUUGACUAAGUUUGCAUUAUUCAUCUGGAUCACAUUUUGCCAAUAUCAGAGUUAGACAUGCAAAAAAAUUCUCAUAAACAUGUCACUGUGAUGUGUGUCACCGCAGGGUUUGUGGGAUUGAGGGAUGAUCUCGACAAGAACCUCAACAUCUCUGUGUCAUGGCAACAGUAUUUCCAGGUAGUGAUAUGCUGUAACCGAAACGCGGACCGUUAAAGGUAAGCACUAGCCAAUGAGAUUACAGUUUUGCACAUUAGUCCCGCCCACUGGCAAGCUCUCAGAGUCUUUACCAGGCUUUAUACGAACAGCUACAGUAAUUCUUGUUCAUUCAUGUUCAUCCAUGGCAAGAGUAAAUGAAUAAACUAGCUAAUUUGAAUUACUUUUUUGCUUAUUUGUAGAUAUUUACUUAUUUCAGGAGGAUGUUUUUUAUCUGCUUUGAAGGAAAAAGGAAAAAUGAAUUAAAUGAAAGCAUGUACUAAGUAUGACUUUAAAAAGUGACUCAGAUUCUGUGAUAUUUGUUUUAUGACCCCUUAAUGGAUACCUAGAAGGUGUGGGCGAUUGCAGGAAUACUCCCCAGCUAUCUACCUCUGACCUUUAAGAAGGGUACAAAUUAAAGAUGAGAACAUUUAAGUAGGUGGGGGGCUUUUAUAGCUAUUCUCCACUGGAUUGUUUUUCAGGAUUGAGCAAAAGCAAACCGUUCAUCUCAGAAGAAAAGUCACGAUAUGGAAAUUGUGUCAUCCAGUAGUUGUGAUUAAACAUUCACUCUGUACAUUAGAACUAUACAAGAAGGUUGCAGUAUGACUCAAACACAAGCCACCUGGGGGCAGCCACUAUAAGUACAGAUCAAAACAGAUUUAGAUCACAUUUUUGGAAUGUGUGUGGGCUUCUAAACACAGAACUCCUUUUGUGGCACUUAUUACUAACACAUUUUUGCUCAAUAGAAAUUGACUAGAUCAUACCAGAACACAACAGUUUAUAUAGCUCAGCAUAUUGCUCAAACUCAAAAUAGCUUCAUGUGCUAUGUAAGGGAGGAGGGCUAUAAAUAUUUGAAAUGAUGCAUUACAAGAUGUUAAAAUGUUAGAAAACAAAACCUUUGAAGUCAGGCACUUACUUGAUUGAUCCUACAUCACGAUUCUAACAGAUGAUGCCAUCAGAGACACAUGGUCUGUAGAUGAAAGUGAUGAUUAUACUGAACAGAAAAGAAACUGAUCUGAGCAAUAUAGUUUACUGUACAUGUAAGAAAGGAGUCAUGCUUUAACCUUUGCUUGAUAUUUGCGGUCGCACGAAAAGAACACUGCAAACUGACGUAUUUACAGGUGACUUUGGGAUGUACUUAUGUACUUGACAAGCGUCGUGCUUGACAUACAUCUUAAUGCCGAAGGUAAAUAUAACUGAUCGACAGCCUCAGAAUUUCAGGGUCAUCUUAGUUUUGCAGAAUAAGUCAAAUGCAUCUGGUAUAAUUUUAUUUUGUUUCUUUAAAAUUACAUCAACUUAAUGUCAUCAAUGUAAAAUACUAAUGCUCAUGCAUUUGGACAAAUGCAGUUUGGUAUUUAGUUUGGUUUGAAAAAUAGAAUAAUAUAGAUAAUGAAAUAAAUACAUCUGAAUGACAUAAUAUAAAAAUUGUCUGUUUUUUUUAGUUGUAGGGAUCUCAUGAAUGAGUUUGGACAGUUCUAUUUUAGGUUAUGAUGACUAAUGAAGAUGUCUGAAAUGUACACCUAAUUCAUGGAAUUAGUAAACAGCAGCUCCAGACAAUUGAAAUGUGUUACGGUGUCCACCAUUUGCCUAGUAACAAAUAAAUAUAAAAAAUGUUAGCCUGAUAAAAACACAAAAUAGAUUCACAGUGCCUCAAAUACUGUAGAACUGAAUAAUAAUUUUUCCCAAAAGUGAAAUGUAACAAACUUUAUUCAACUGAAGCUUAUGUUUUUCACUAAUGCUUUCUAGUUUUGUGCGCACUACGAACAAGCUGGUCAGGAAACAGACUGUUGAUAUUAUAAUAAUAAUAAUAAUAAUAAUAAUGAAAGCACAUAUGAUAGGAAAACUGGCUUUUAUUGAAAUCUUUCACAGAGUUAGUUGUGAAUGUGGUGCACCAUGCAUACUGCACAAUGCAUACAAUGCGAGAUUAAGACACCAUUACAACGCCAGUCUCUAUGUGUGCGCAUGAGUAUGCUGGUCACAGAAACAAGACUCGUUGCCAUAUGUACCAAUACAAUAGCAGCGUCCUCAUGACAACUAUUCUGUACAUCUCAUAUUUACAUAGUUUUGUACCAACACACCUCGGGUAAAGACAGCUUCAGGAUGGUGAAAGUAGGGAGGGAGCUAAAAGAAGAUAUCCCAAGAGUCAUCUGACAUACAAUCACAAAUGAACUAUUGCUCUUGUCUUCAAGUUCAGACCAUAGCCUAUCAGGAUCAGACUCAUUCAUACACACCGUUUUAUAUGUUCUUUUACUGACUGACAUGAUGUUUUGUACUCUUUUGUCCAAUUCCAAUAAUCAUAAGAUUAAUAAUAGUAUUACCCUGCUCAGCACCCACACAGUCAAACAUGUGCACUUCUUCGUCACUGAACCAGUUGCUCAACUUGUUUUAGCCUGUGCUACACAAAUGGCAGUGAUUGAUUACUGUCCAGUACGGCUGUUGGACCCAUCAAGCAUUAUUGCUCAU